GAAAAUAAAGACAAAAAUGUCUAAAGAAAAAAAAAAGAAAGUGUUUUAUCCUUUCAAAUCUUUUCACUUUGGAGGGAGCAAAUAUUGGCUUUAUCAUUUUCGUCCUCUCCCUUUCCCUCUGAUCAAAAGUGAAACUAAAUAAAUCAGGGAAGGUCCCCAUUUCCGUCAAACUCAAAGAACCAACAAAUUCUAGCAUUUCAGCGAUCAAAUUACAUGAAAGCGAAAACCCUAAAUCCAUAAUCAUCAUCAGCAGCACCACUGAACACAGAGCUAACCAUUGCUUCACUAUUACAAACAGGUAUAAUGGCUUUCAUAUUCAUUCUUCGCACAUUGCAAAUGCUGAAUGAUGCUCAGAAACUACAACAUUUCAGAUGAAACAUGGAUUGAAGAUGUUGAAGGAGAAGACAAAAAGGGUUUCGGCGGUAUUUCCAGCACUUGAAGGCUCCCUUCCAACAUUUCCACCACUUUACGCAUUGAUGGUCGAUUUGAAGGGUCAGUUUGUAUGCACCAUAAACUCACCACUGUCAUUUUUCUUACCAUUUCUUCAUCAAUUUCAUUUUUAACACACUUAAGUCCAAGAUCCUGAUUCAAUUCAAGACGUUUAUAAAUCCAGUGUGGAAAAUAUAACUCACUAGAACAAUCCACUUCAACUUUAAUGUUCUUUCUUCGACCAACCAUUUCUAAAACCAUCAUUCCAUAACUAUAGACAUCUGAUUUAUGUGACACCCCACCAAAAUUUUAAGAGAACAACUCUGGAGCAAUAUAUCCGGGUGUUCCCCUUGCACCAAAUACGGAUACAAUGCUUUCAUUUUUUAGACAUAUUUUAGCAAGUCCAAAAUCUGAAAUUUUCGGACAUAGAUCCUCAUCAAGUAAUAUAUUAUGAGGUUUUAUGUCGAAAUGUAAGAUUCUGGUGUUGCAACCUCUAUGCAAGUACUCUAGUCCCCGAGCAACACCAACAGCAAUAUCAUACUG